rnacentral:rRNA from 1 species
ACCGAUGUGGAAUCCUGCUCCCUCAGACCGGGAUACUCCGGGAAACCGGAGCUAAUACCGGAUAACACCGAAGACCGCAUGGUCUUCGGUUGAAAGGCGGCCUUUGGGCUGUCACUUGCGGAUGGGCCCGCGGCGCAUUAGCUAGUUGGUGAGGUAACGGCUCACCAAGGCGACGAUGCGUAGCCGGCCUGAGAGGGUGACCGGCCACACUGGGACUGAGACACGGCCCAGACUCCUACGGGAGGCAGCAGUAGGGAAUCUUCCGCAAUGGGCGAAAGCCUGACGGAGCGACGCCGCGUGAGCGAAGAAGGCCUUCGGGUCGUAAAGCUCUGUUGUGAGGGACGAAGGAGCGCCGUUUGAAGAAGGCGGCGCGGUGACGGUACCUCGCGAGAGAGGCCCCGGCUAACUACGUGCCAGCAGCCGCGGUAAUACGUAGGGGGCGAGCGUUGUCCGGAAUUAUUGGGCGUAAAGCGCGCGCAGGCGGUCUCUUAAGUCUGAUGUGAAAGCCACGGCUCAACCGUGGAGGGUCAUUGGAAACUGGGGGACUUGAGGGCAGGAGAGGAGAGCGGAAUUCACGUGUAGCGGUGAAAUGCGUAGAGAUGUGGAGGAACAGCAGUGCGAGCGCUCUCUGGGCUGCACCUGACGCUGAGCGCGAAGCGUGGGGAGCAAACAGGAUUAGAUACGCUGGUAGUCCACGCCGUAAACGAUGAGUGCUAA